rnacentral:rRNA from 1 species
GAUGAACGCUGGCGGCGUGCUUAACACAUGCAAGUCGAACGGAAAGGCCAUGCUUUUGUGGGGUGCUCGAGUGGCGAACGGGUGAGUAACACGUGAGUAACAUGCCCCUGAAUUUGGGGUAACUUCUGGAGAAAGGGGCUCAUAACGCAUAGGAGCUCCUGAUGCAUGGUGGGGGUUGGCAAGUUUCGGCGGUUGGGGAUGGAUUCGCGGCUUAUAAGCUUGUUGGUGGGGUAGUGGCUUUCCAAGGUUUUGACGGAUAGCCGGCCUUGGAGGUGGACCAGGCACAAUGGUACUGCGAGACGGCGCAGUCGCGUACGUGAGGCAACAGGCGGGAACAUGGCGCAGUGGGCGGAAGCCUGUUGCGAAAGCGCCGCGUGCGGAAUGAAGGCUUACGGGUGGUGAACCGAUUUCGCCUGAGACGAAGAGUGAGUGACGGUAAUGGGUAAAGAAGCACCGGCUAACUACGUG